rnacentral:rRNA from 1 species
UUCGUAGGUGGCCAACUAAGUCAGACGUGAAAUCCCUCAGCUUAACUGGGGAACUGCGUCUGAUACUGGUUGGCUUGAGUGCAGGAGAGGAACGCGGAAUUCCAGGUGUAGCGGUGAAAUGCGUAGAUAUCUGGAGGAACACCGGUGGCGAAGGCGGCGUUCUGGACUGUAACUGACACUGAUGAACGAAAGCCAGGUAGCAAACG